rnacentral:rRNA from 1 species
UAUGUGAUCGUCUCUCGCAUAUCAAUAAGCGGAGGAAAAGAAACUAACAAGGAUUCCCCUAGUAACGGCGAGUGAAGCGGGAAGAGCUCAAAUUUGAAAUCUUAAAGGGUUUCCCUUUACGAAUUGUAGUUUAAAGAAGUGUUUUCUGUUGAGGUUUUGGUAAAAGUUCUUUGGAAUAGGACAUCAUAGAGGGUGAGAAUCCCGUAUUUGACCUUUACUUUCAACUUUGUGAUACACUUUCAAAGAGUCGGAUUGUUUGGGAAUGCAGUCCAAAAUGGGUGGUAAAUUUCAUCUAAAGCUAAAUAUUGGCGAGAGACCGAUAGCGAACAAGUACCGUGAGGGAAAGAUGAAAAGAACUUUGAAAAGAGAGUUAAACAGUACGUGAAAUUGUCAAAAGGGAAGCGCUUUGACACCAGUGUUGUUUUUCUGAAAAUCAAUUAAAGAACUGUUUAUGCUAAGUUGUUUAGACUUUAUCAGCUAACUGUUUAAUUUUGAGCUUUUCUUUAAUGCACUUUUCAGUUAACAAGUCAACAUCAAUUUCUUUUGCUGUAAAAAAGCUUGAGGAAGGGUGGCUUGAGAUUCGUCUUAAGUGUUUAUAGCCUCUUGCCUAUGCAGUCGGAGAGAUUGAGGUCUGCAGCGUAGAUCCUUCGGGGCUAAAUGCAUUUGUGCUAAGUUAUAGCAUUUUAUAGACAACUUGUUGACUAUGAUUUGUCUUGUAGCUUACUCGCUUAUGUUAUUUUACCUACGCUUAGGAUGUUGAGUCAUCACACAUCUCU